ensembl:misc_RNA Metazoa_SRP Metazoan signal recognition particle RNA
GCCGGGCAUGGUGGUGGGUGCCUGUAAUCCCAGCUACUCGGGAGGCUGAGGCAGGAGACUUGCUUGAACCUGGGAAGCAGAGGUUGCAGUGAGCCGAGAUUGCACCACUGCAUUCCAGCCUGGGUGACAGAGCAAGACUCUGUCUCAG